CCUACGGGUGGCAGCAGUAGGGAAUUUUCCUCAAUGGGCGAAAGCCUGAUGGAGCCACGCCGCGUGGGUGAAGAAGGUCUUCCGAUCGUAAAACCCUGUUGUUAGAGAAGUAAGUGCGUGCGCGUAUCUGUUCACGUUUCUACGGUAUCUAUACAGAACGCCACAGCUCACUCCGUGCCAGCCGCCGCGGUCAUACGUCGGUGGCAAGCGUUAUCCGGAUUUAUUGGGCGUAAAGGGAACGCAGGCGGUCUGUUAAGUCUGAUGUGAAAGCCUUCGGCUUAACCGGAGAAGUGCAUUGGAUACUGGGAGACUUGAGUGCAGAAGAGGAAGGUGGAACUCGAGGUGUAGCGGUGAAAUGCGGAGAUAUAACGAAGAACACCAGUGGCGAAGGCAGCUCUCUGGUCUGUAACUGACGCUGAGGUUCGAAAGCGUGGGUAGCAAACAGGAUUAGAUACCCGGGUAGUC
rnacentral:rRNA from 1 species